GAGGCCCUCUCUAUGUAAUCUCGAGAGAUCAAAAAGUUUCUGGGGAAUCCCGUCGAUUUCCCCAAUCAGAGCCCGACAAUUUUGCCUAAAAAACUGCACGGAAUCCUAUGGAUCUACAAGGAACGCUGUUUCCGAGGAAAAAUUUUAAAAUGCGAUGGAUAUAUUAGUAACGUGGUGUAACAAAUCAAUCAAAUAUCUGCUUUUAUUUUUAAAAAUAUAUAUUUCUUCAUGAUUAUAAAAAAGUAUUUUUAUUUUAUUUUUGUUUGAAAAAAAAAAAAUGAUUGACUUGUUAUUGAUGACGUGAUGCAAGUAUAAUAGUGUAGAACUUUUUGUUUCCGAGAGAAAUGCUAAUGUUUUAUUUGUUUGUUUGUAAUAAGUGUGCUUAAACUGAAAAUUCAUUAUUACAAUAAAGUUAAUGGUGAAAAGGAAAAAUUACUUUGAUUUUUCAAAAAAGAAAAAAGGAAAAAUUACUAUAGUUGUUCGGUUGAUUGUCUGAUAAAAAACAAAUGUCUUGAAAACUACAAUUAUUUUCUUAAUCUAUUUCACUAAAAAAGUUUACACUAAGAUAAGUACAAGGAGAAAAGUUAUUUUCAAUUAAUUAUUAUUUUUUUUUUUCAUAAUUAGCUUCCGUAUGAUUGGAAGUAAAGUCAAUUUCAACAUUUUAGAAAAGAUUGGGUUACGUGCGAAAUUGGUAAACAAGAGAAGUGGGCUUUGAAACCAACUGUACCUUUUUAACUUUCGACUUCCUCUAACUUCUAACACUAACUAUUCCUGUAACUUCCUAUUAACGAUUGUGGAAACAAUCAAGAACUCGUAGUUUUCUUUUUGUGUGUGCGGGAGAUUGUUGUUCUCGUAGGAAGUGCAAGACUAUUAGUCGUGUCUAAGUUAUGAAGUCUAUUCUAAGAGUUUUAUUUAUACUUUUAUUUUUCUUUGAAACAAUCAUAUGAAAAUUUUUGUCCGUUGACAUGUAAUAUGUCCACAUUGGCAGGUUUUAAUUUAACCCGAUCUGCUUGAGGUGUGAAUUGGAAUUUAUCCUAAUAGGUUAAAAAUAAUAAUAAAUUAUACGUUUAUUAUUGGUUAAGAAAUGUAUCUCCUAGUAGAUAUUUAUUAUGGAUAUCCUAAUCCUAAUCUCUACGUGAGAUUUAGGAUAUUUUAGUGGUUUCAUUAUUCUAUAAAUGUGCCCCCUUUUCUCUCCCUUUUUUUUAAUAUAGUGAAAUGACUUCCAAAAAAAAAACAUCAUAGCUGAUCUUAUCAGCGGUGAUAAGCUAGAUGAAAAGAACUAUGACAUUUGGUAUAAAAAAAUGCAAUACCUACUUAAUAAACAAAGAGUUCUCAAAACUCUUUUUGUCAAAAGAGUCAUGCCUGUCGAAGGUACAAUUUUUGAGUAUGAAAAAGAUAUCUAUAACAAAUGGAUUAAGGAGGAUCGAACUGUUCGGUACACUAUGUUGUGUGCCAUGCAAGACGACCUCAUUGGACAGUUUGAGAUCUUUGAGACUGCCAAGGACUUGUGGGACAAUCUAAAGAUUGCUUUUGGAUAAAUUUCAGCCACGAGGCUACGUGCCUUAAAUUUGAUGUUUCAGCAAUACACCGAGGACCCGAAAUAUUUAAUGGCUGAGCACCUCCGUGUGAUGAGCACCAUGAUUCGAGACCUUAAGACUGCUGGAAGCGAGCUCACUGAUGAGCAACAAGUUCUAUCAGUGAUUCGUUCACUGUAAUAUACCGAAACUCGGUAGAGGAUAUCGAACUUUAGUCAAAUUGAUUAAAGUGUGCGAAAUGAAUAGUUGGACAAGAUCCAUUUAACAUUCCAACAAUGUUGGAAGGGUUAAAGUUGAAUUCUAAAAGAGUUAGAAAGGUUUUAGCAUUGCUCGACGCGAAUUAGAGUCGAAACAAUGCGAGAUUGAAAAUCUGGAGCUUUUGUUACCGGUAAUGCAUUGACCUUGUACCGGUAUCAUUCAUCAGACCGAGAGAAAUAGCUCUCGGGUUUGAGAAAAAAAGGUUGUUGAACCGUUGACACCCCUGGUGUGUACCGGUACCAAGUCAGUUACCUGAGAGAAGCAGCUCUCGGGUUAGCCUCUACGUGAUCGUGUUACCGGUGACAAAAAUACCUUGUACCAGUACGCAGUGCACUUUGUAGCAGGUUGACGUCUGCUGCAAAUAUGAAAAUUGGGAUGGCCUUUUUGCAAAUGUAGCAGCUUAUAAAAGACCCCAACACCCCUCUCUUGUUCACAACAGCUGAGAACACUCAUCUCACUCAUUUCUCUCUUUCUCUCUCUUUAGAAACUCUCUCCCAAGGUGCAAGGAGUUGGAGAAGGAUUUGGAGGAGAUCUUUUGAAGAUUAGAAGACCUAGAGCUCUCCUACAAGGUGAACCUUGGAGUGCUCUUGGGCUAAGACGAGAGAAUAGGCGGCUAAAAAUCACGAGAUUUGAACCGUAACACCCUAGCAACCAUACAAGUUCUCACCCCCCUUUUUCCACAAAGCCGAGACCGAAUGAGUCGACCGACGACCGCGGUAAAGGUAUCGCGCCAUAGACAGGGACCACCCGAGUUGGUUUCAUUUUGGUUUAGUUGUACACCGUUUUAUAUAUAUCAUCUUUUGUACUUGAUGAUUAUAGAUGUUUAAAUGAAAGAAUAUGAAUAAUGUAAAAGAGUUUAUGUUUAAAUACAAAGAAUUAU